AUGGGCUUGGGGAGCUGGGGAGGGUCCAGGAGAUGCUCAGGGUGCUAUGACCAGGAGGUCCUAGGCCCAGGGCAGAGAUGCCUGUCUGUUUACCCUGGCCUUGUCCUUCUGCCACUUCCAGAGAUCCCUGCCCUUCUAGGGCCUGGACAGGCAGAGGAGAGCCUCUGGUGAAGGUGCCCUGGACAGAGCUCUCUUCUCUUGGAAAUCACCUGCUUGCUCCCCCUUCAGGCUGGGACCGGACUCCCUGACUUCCCUAGAGAGGAAUCCCUCUGCCUCUCCUCCUGCCAUUGGUGCUGGUCUACAGGGACCCUGUGCUCUGGAAAGCCGAUUUUCCUGGUGUGCAUCAUAAAGGUGAUGUGUGAGGUCCUGGGACCACGAUUCGAUGUGCCAGCUCCUGGUUCGCAUGAACAUGCCCAUCUCCAAUGAGGACAUGACCGUCCACUUCACGUCCACGCUGAUGGCCCUCAUUCGGACUGCACUGGAGAUCGAGCUGGCUCCAGGUGGGUUUCCACUGCAAUGCUGCUGGAGCCGCUCUUGCU